rnacentral:rRNA from 1 species
UGGAGGGGAGCGGCAGACGGGAGAGUAACACGUGGGAACGUACCCUUUGGUUCGGAACAACCCAGGGAAACUUGGGCUAAUACCGGAUAAGCCCUUACGGGGAAAGAUUUAUCGCCGAAGGAUCGGCCCGCGUCUGAUUAGCUUGUUGGUGGGGUAACGGCCCACCAAGGCGACGAUCAGUAGCUGGUCUGAGAGGAUGAUCAGCCUCACUGGGACUGAGACACGGCCCAGACUCCUACGGGAGGCAGCAGUGGGGAAUCUUGCGCAAUGGGCGAAAGCCUGACGCAGCGACACCGCGUGGGGGACGAAGGCCUUUCAGG